GCCUUUAUAUAUUUGUUUUCCCCUAAUAUAUGUGAGCUCCUGGAUGGGGCUAUGUUUUAUGUCUCCAGGGCCCAUAGGUUAAACCAUACAGUAGAUACUCAAAAAAUGUGUGCUCAUACUACUCCAUGCAGUUCCAAAGUCAUUUUUACUUAAGUCUUCCGGAAUGGGGCUCCUGAUCAACACUUUGUAGUUGAGGAAAUAGAGGCUGAGAUAUGGGUUUGUGUUCAUGCAGGAUCUCCAAGCCUGAGUAAACUGUGGGCUUCUUUCUUCUGAGUCCCAGACCAACUCACUUUGGAGUCUACCAAAAGGCUCAUUCAUGAAUUUGCUAAGGAGCCACUGAGGGACUAAAGAGAUGGUGGGUAUAGGAACUAGAAAAGUCCAAUCAAAUGUAAGGCCUUAGCACUCUCCUCCUUGGUCAGAGAGGCUGAUCUCUUGGGGAUUCAGAUUAGAAGGACAAAUUUCAAUAACAACCAGAGCAGCAAUUGCCCUUUGUUGAACACUUUCCAUAGCCAGGGUCUGUGCUAAGCAUGUUGGUUGGAGUAUCUCAUUUACUUGUCAUACAUACACCAUAUUGUAGCUGUCAACACUUCCAUUUCACAGAACAAGUCUUGAGGCUCAGGGAAUUUAGGUGAUUUGCCUGGAGUCAUGCCAUUAGGAGAAAACUAGGAUGCAGUUCUCGCCUAAAACAUGGUCACUCUACAGCAACAUUCUCAUAACUCCUCCAGAGGCCAAUGCUCCCAUGUUAUAAAUAUGGAGACUGAGGGUCAGAAAUGAAAAAGUACCCAUCCAAGAUCAUAAAGGUGCCAGAACCAAGAGUAGAGUGUUUUUUUAUUUUAUGUCCAGUGCAUUCCUGACCCCGUGGUAACCCCAGGCCCAUCUGCUUUUCUGACCUUUGGGCAGUUAGAGAAUAAUAGGGGGAAAACCUUACCUCUUCUCAGAAAUCAAGGCAAGUGCCAAGUUGGGUUAGCCUCCCCAGGCAGUUUUGUAGCACAAAUACCAGCCUGGUUGCUGCAGUUCACUAGGUUUUAUGAUCAAGGAUGACGUAGUUUCUUCACUCUCUUGCAAGCUAUUCAACUCCACAGUCAACGAACAGCCUUUCUGGGGCAGAACAAGAGGCAGGUCUUAGAGGAGCUGUCUGCAAAGAUCAUCAAGGCUGGUCUUUUUUCUCAGAAAAUAAAAGCAUGACUCAUUGACUGUGUAGCCCUAGGCAAAUUUCUUUCCUUCUUUGGAUCUUGAUCUUCCAUGCAAUAUAAUUUGGGGAACUGGGUUCAAACAUCCAAAUGACCUGGGAGCUUGGGGAGAAAUACAGAUUCCUGGGCCACACUCAUUGAGAUUCCAAUUACGUCUUGGGACUCUGUGUUUUUGCAACUUUCCCAGGGUGUCUUUGAUGCAUGCCAUAUUUGGGAAUCACAAAUAUGGAUGAUUCCCAAGAGCCUUUCCAACCAGAGCACACAGAGUCUGUCCAUUUACAUGGAGAAUACACCAAGGCCCAGUCCCCAUCUUCAGAUGUUGCAAUAGUAGAUUAAUGGAUGAAUAGACGCACUAUGUCACUGCUGUAAGUACUGAAGAAAAGGGGAUGUCUGGUCACCUCCCUUUUUACAUGUGAUCUGUGUUACCUUGACAUGUUUUUUAUCCUGGAAAGGAAUGUGUUCGAUAUGAUGCAAGGGUAUGCAGGAGAAUGAGCUACUCCUUUCCAUGCAAGGCUCAAACAGGCCUCUGGAAAGAACCAUAGAGCACCACCCCAGCUCUUAGACAAACUCUUGUAAAAGGACACCACUUUUAUGCUCUCUCAUACAUUUGGAGGAGGAAUAUAGAGAUAAUGAGGAGACAAUAUGGAAUCCUGAAAUCAAGUGUGCCUGCAGUCUUCUCAGCCAGACUACCCUUCUUUUAUUUUUCUAAAAUCCCAUUUGUUCUUCAAGACUCAGCUCAAGUGCUACCUCCUCUAAGUCUCCUGGGCUCUUCUCCAGCCCCAUCUCCUGUGAUUAUCCACAUUUAGACAAUGUUCUGACCACACCUAACGGCUUGCAGUUCUCUAAGUGCAUUCCUGUGCAUCCUCCCACCCACAGACUUUUGUCCAGGCUGCGCCCUCUGCCUGGAGCACCCAUCUCUCCCUUCUUGAUCUGAGUGGCUCCUACUCAUGUUCAAAACUCCACAUCAGCAACACAUUCUUACCCUCAAGCCUGAGGGUCUUUGACAUUGGAAUUUAAAGAUGUAUUUACUCAUAUCUGCACCAACAGACAGAGAAUUCUCUGAGGGAAGGAGCCAUGCGAAUUUUUUUAUUAUUAUUAUUCAUUUGGGAAUCCCUAUCGCCUAGGAUAGUAGGUAUGUGAGUAUGUGGAUUGUUGAAGGGACUGGCAUCUGUGGUUCUCAAAGCAUGGCCCUCUUGAUCAGCGGCAAUCACAUCAUAUGGAAAGUUUUUAGAAAAGCAAAUUAUUGGGCCCUACACCAGAACUAUUAAAUCAGAAACUCUGGAGUGGGACCCAGAAAUCUGUGUUUUAACAAGCCUUCUAGAGGACUUUGAUGCAUGCUAACAUUUGAGAACUGCUGGUCUAGAAGAAGGGUUGACCACUGUGAUGAGAAGUCCAUAGCUCUGAGAGGUUCUGUUGACUUCAGCUUCAACAGAACUCAAAGGUGUCAUGAGCUAUGGACAAACAGUUCUUAACUUUAUUUGGAGGUUAAUCCAGGGAACUCUCUGGACAGUCUUCUGUGGAUUUAAACUGUGAGAAGGACUCAUCCAACCACCCAGGUCUGUCAUGGCCUAUAUCUCCUGCACUCAAUUCUCCUAUUCUGUGAAAAAUGAAUUGGUAUCGAUAUGACUCCUCAUGGCCUUUAUAUAUUUUAUGGCUACUUUUUUGGCCCCUAAGCACCCAGGGAUGUAUGUGCAUUUUACCUAAAUCAUAUCGUCUCUUUUUUUUUCUCAGUCCUUUAUAUAAACCGUAUACUUAUGCUAUCCUACUACUUCGUAUAACUCUAUUGAUCCCAACUUCCUUUUCUCAUUGCCUCAGCACUACCAGAUCAUUUCUCACCUCCACCACUACUCCUGCUUCCCAUUUGGUCCUAGUGAAUCCUGGCUCUCCCUUGCAAUCUUUAUUUCACAUGAAGGGAUCUACCUCAAAAUUGAAAAUUAUUCCUAAAACUCUUUUCUUAGACUCUUCCCUGUUUGCUAAUCUCCCUUGCAAUAGUGUCCAACCACUUUAGUGCUGCAACAGAUCCCACUGAAGCUCUGCCCAUAUUUGUUGCCACUGUAAUAUCUUCUGGUAUGACUUUCCAUAGUCACUGUUCAUUUUUCUUUGCCUGAGAGCUUUCUCUGGUGGCCUGAGCCCACUCUGCCCACCAGCAGGUAAGACAGAUGUGCUGGAGGAUUAAUGCCCCAGGGAAAUCCCUCAACCACUGAUGGGCAUGAUUGGAUUAAAUACCCCAGCUUCCUAACAUCUCAGGUGGGAUAAUUCUGAGGAGUGUGUCUUCUCCUGGCUCACAGAAUUCGUCCCCAGGGUGAUUAAGCUGCAGCUGAUCACAGUAGUAAUGUGUUUGAUAAUACUACCUCUUUUCAUGACCUUACCAUCUUUGCCCUCUUCUCUUCUGGUACUCAUUGGAAUCAUCAUCCAGAUAAUCUACCUGUACUUGAACCUUUGCCUCAGAGUUGGUGAUAGGGUUUAAAUCUCACCUUGAAUUGUAAUAAUCCCCAUGUUUCAAGGGCUGGGCCAGGUGGAGGUAACCGAAUCAUGGGGGCAGUUUCCCCCAUACUGUUCUUGUGGUAGUGAAUAAGUCUCAUGAGAUCUGAUGGUUUUAUAAAUGGGAAUUCCCCUGCACAAGCUCUCAUGCCUGCCACCAUCUAAGAUAUGCCGUUGCUCUUCCUUCACUUUCCACCAUGAUUGUGAGACCUCCCCAGCCAUGAGGACCUGUGAGUCCAUUAAACCUCUUUCCUUUAUAAAUUACUCAGUCUUGGGUAUGCCUUUAUUAGUAGCAUGAAAAUGAACUAAUACUGUUGGCUUCCAAAGGAACCCAAACCAAGACAUGCAUUUACAAAGCUCUUGGCAGCUGGUCUCUUUCUAACUCUCUGACAUCACCUGGCAUCUUUCUUCCCCAGUGUGGUUUCUUGUUCCCCUUCUUCCAAAUUGAGAUCCUGGUGGCCUGAACACUUACUAUUCCCCAAACAAGCCAUGCCCUAAUUCACCCGUUUGGUCUUUGCACAUGCUGUUUUCUCUGCGUGCAAUAUUGGCCAUUUUAUUCUGCAAUGGGUUUCCCCAUUUGCAACACCUCACACAUUGCACUCCAAUGAGCUAGUUGCUUGUCUUUGUAUUUGGAAUAUUUGGAUACUCUGUAAGGAAAAUGGCUGUGGAUGUCUAUCUUGGCCACCACUCUUAUCAGUGUUUAGUCCAAUGAAUUGUGCAUAAUAAUGCUCAAUAAACAAUUGUUCAAAAAUAU
rnacentral:lncRNA from 1 species